rnacentral:rRNA from 1 species
GUCCCAGACUCCUACGGGAGGCAGCAGUGGGGAAUAUUGCACAAUGGGGGGAACCCUGAUGCAGCGACGCCGCGUGGGUGAAGGAGCACCUCGGUGCGUAAAGCCCUAUCGGCAGGGAAGAAACAGACGGUACCUGACUAAGAAGCCCCGGCUAACUACGUGCCAGCAGCCGCGGUAAUACGUGGGGGGCAAGCGUUAUCCGGAUUCACUGGGUGUAAAGGGAGCGUAGACGGCGACGCAAGUCUGGAGUGAAAGCCCGGGGCUCAACCCCGGGACUGCAUUUGGAACUGUAAGGCUAGAGUGUCGGAGAGGCAGGCGGAAUUCCUAGUGUAGCGGUGAAAUGCGUAGAUAUUAGGAAGAACACCAGUGGCGAAGGCGGCUUUCUGGACUGAAGCUGACGCUGAGGCACGAAAGCGUGGGGAGCGAACAGGAUUAGAUACCCCAGUAU